UGGGAUGUAGCUCAGUGGUAGAGCAUGUGCUUAGCAUGCACAAAGCCCUGGGUUUGAUCCCCAGCAUUCCAA
rfam:Ictidomys tridecemlineatus contig016397, whole genome shotgun sequence.